rnacentral:rRNA from 1 species
AACGAACGCUGGCGGCAGGCCUAACACUUGCAAGUCGAGCGCGCCCUUCGGGGUGAGCGGCGGACGGGUGAGUAACGCGUGGGAACGUGCCCUUUUCUACGGAAUAGCCUCGGGAAACUGAGAGUAAUAUCGUAUACGCCCUUUGGGGGAAAGAUUUAUCGGAAAAGGAUCGGCCCGCGUUGGAUUAGGUAGUUGGUGGGGUAAUGGCCUACCAAGCCGACGAUCCAUAGCUGGUUUGAGAGGAUGAUCAGCCACACUGGGACUGAGACACGGCCCAGACUCCUACGGGAGGCAGCAGUGGGGAAUCUUAGACAAUGGGGGCAACCCUGAUCUAGCCAUGCCGCGUGAGUGAUGAAGGCCUUAGGGUUGUAAAGCUCUUUCAGCUGGGAAGAUAAUGACGGUACCAGCAGAAGAAGCCCCGGCUAACUCCGUG